rnacentral:snRNA from 1 species
GGUUGCAAGGGCGAUCUGACUGUGACGCCAGUCUCCCCAUUGAUCACCAGGGCUGGCUCGGCUAGUCUGGCUGGCUAGGCGGGUGUCCCCUUCCUCUCACACUGUUCCAUGUGUGUCCCUCCUGAAGCUGCAUGCUCUGCCAAAAAGGACGGCCUUCCUCAAACAGAGGAGGGCCAGUCUCCGUCAAGGGUACACACGUAGCUGCACUUCCCUGCUAGAACCUCCAAACGAGCUCUCAAAGCUUUUUGUGCAUGUCUGCAAAUCUCCCAUCAACCAAAACUGCUGAGAUGGCCAAUGGGUGAAGGAACUAUGUAAUC